UAAAAUAAUAUUCGGCCUCGUAAAAAGUAUAAAAAUUAAAGACAUGUUUGGUCCACGACUGAAAUGAAAAUAAAAAAUAAAAUUGGAUGGUAUUGGAUUGAAAAACGGAAUGAAAAUAAUUCAAAAUUUUUUUGUUCAUUGCUGUAAUGAAAAUCAAAAUGAAUAUCUAGAAUUUUGGGCCAGAAAUGAAUUGGCUCCUUACCGUUCCAAAGUGGAAUGAGAAUUGGAAUCUAAUUUCUGUAGAAUAAAUGACAACUAUCGAAAUUAAUGAAUUCUAUUCUGAUUCUAUAGUUUAAAAUAGAUAAAUCAAACAAGCCCUAGAUCACAAUAAUGAAAUAGUACAGAUACCAUUGUUCGCCAUUUCAAUAUUUUAUAUUCAACACUUUCAUCACCGUAUCUAAACACAAAAUAAUUUGAUAGGAUUGGGACUCAAUUUUUUUUUAUUUUUAUGUGACACCAUAUAAAAUAAUUAAUUAAUUAAUUUAAAAUUAAUAUUCAAUAGAAACUAAUUUUCACAGAAAAUAAAACC
rnacentral:lncRNA from 1 species